rnacentral:SRP_RNA from 1 species
CACGGGCAAGGCCUACACGACCAGCUCCUACAGAACUCCCCCAGGGCGGGAACGCAGCAAGGGUAUGUGGUUGUAGCGGUGCGAUGUAGGAUUCUUGCCU